AGUGGUCCCGCGGUGUAUUAGUUAGUUGGUGAGGUAAUGGCUCACCAAGACAAUGAUACAUAGCCGAGUUGAGAGACUGACCGGCCACAAUGGGACUGAGACACGGCCCCAUACUCCUACGGGAGGCAGCAGUAGGGAAUCUUCCACAAUGGACGAAAGUCUGAUGGAGCAACGCCGCGUGUGUGAUGAGGGGUUUCGGCUCGUAAAACACUGUUGUAAGAGAAGAAUGACAUUGAGAGUAACUGUUCAAUGUGUGACGGUAUCUUACCAGAAAGGAACGGCUAAAUACGUG
rnacentral:rRNA from 1 species